CCCUUAGAUGUUCUGGGCCGCACGCGUGCUACACUGAGUGGAUCAGCGGGUCAGGUUGCGCGAAAGUGUUUCCUAAUCUUGAAAUCCGCUCGUGAUGGGGAUUGACGGUUGCAAUUUUCCGUCAUGAACGAGGAAUACCUUGUAAGCGCGGGUCAUCAUCCCGCGCUGAAUACGUCCCUGCCCUUUGUACACACCGCCCGUCGCUCCUACCGAUUGAGUGGUCCGGUGAGGCUUUGGGAUCUGAGCGGAAAGAGCGUUUCGCUGUUUCUGCUCGGAAAACUCAGUCGAACCUUAUCAUUUAGAGGAAGGAGAAGACGUAACA
rnacentral:rRNA from 1 species